CCAUCUUAUUAGUUUUUUCCUGCCUGCGUUCUUGUCAAUUAACUAUACUCAUUGUCAUUCCAGAUCCUGUCAUCAACAAGAAAUCACCUCAUUCUCUUCACCUGGUCCUCAUGCCCUUCCCACCUGCAACCCAUUCCCUCAUUAGCCCCUCACUAUAUAGGUCCCCACACUUCCACUUGUCCUCUGUCAGAUUGUCUUGUGUGCAUGCCAAGGUUUCCAGCGUUUUUCCGAUUACCGAUAUCCUGUCCUGACCUAGCCUGCCUUCUCAUUACUAUGAACUCUUCGCCUGCCCCUUUUUGGAUUUGUUUGCCUGUUGGAUUGCCAUCCUGUUUCUGAACCCUGCCUCUCCCCGUUUAUGGAUUUGUUUAACCAUUGGACUGCUAUCCCGGUUUGACCCUGCCUGUAUAAGCUGCCCCGCCUCCUCCACGAUGCUGUUCUGGGGUCGAGGCUCCGGCUCCUCGCUCGGGACGUCCCGGCUGAGGAUUCGCUCGUCUGUUGCGUCCGUCAGACAAAGUCUCCUGCAGCACCUGGACCGCGAGAAGAACCGCGCGAUGGUGCUCCUGACUGCUCCUGAACGAGAAGGAAAGCAUAACUUUCAUUGUCCAACUGAUUAUUUACCAGAGGUGGGACAGUCAUUGUUAUGGAAGUCUCAAGUCUUUGCCCUCGAGAGUCGAGUCAAAGAUGAGGCAAGUGUCGAGUCAAAAGUCAGACAACAAGUCUCAAGUAGAGUCUUACCAUUUUAGUUUUGAGUCAUUUCAAGUCCUCUUACCACCGAAAUAAAAUUCAUACAAAUCAUG